CAGAAAAUAGUUUAUUUAAAAUAAUAAUUUUGGAGAUUAUUGAUAAAGUAAUUACUUUUUUUCUGA
rnacentral:tRNA from 1 species